GCCGGUUUAGCUUAGUGGUAGAGCGUUGCACUUGUACAAAUCACAGAUGAUAGUGCCAUGCAAAGGUCGGUUGUUCAAUCCAGCCAACCGGCA